rnacentral:rRNA from 1 species
UACGGAAGGCAGCAGUGGGGAAUAUUGCACAAUGGGCGCAAGCCUGAUGCAGCCAUGCCGCGUGUAUGAAGAAGGCCUUCGGGUUGUAAAGUACUUUCAGUCGUGAGGAAGGUGUUAAGGUUAAUAACCUUAGCAAUUGACGUUAGCGACAGAAGAAGCACCGGCUAACUCCGUGCCAGCAGCCGCGGUAAUACGGAGGGUGCGAGCGUUAAUCGGAAUUACUGGGCGUAAAGGGCACGCAGGCGGUUAAUAAGUUGGAUGUGAAAUCCCCGGGCUUAACCUGGGAAUGGCAUUCAAGACUGGUUAGCUAGAGUCUUGUAGAGGGGGUAGAAUUCCAUGUGUAGCGGUGAAAUGCGUAGAGAUGUGGAGGAAUACCGGGUGGCGAAGGCGGCCCCUGGGACAAAGACUGACGCUCAUGUGCGAAAGCGUGGGGAGCAAACGAGGAUUAGAU